rnacentral:lncRNA from 10 species
AUGAAAAUGACUUUUCCACAUGCUGGGCCUUCCCCCAUCCCCUCGCACACACUCACACUAUGCUCAGAAGCUUCCAGAAUCCCAAACCCGCCCCAAAGCUGCCACUUUGCAAAGGCUUCCUCUAAAGCCACAUCUGUCCCAGAGAGACCCCCGAAAGUGGAGGAAAGGGGUCGGCUGGCUGGAGUUGGGGCCCGGAGGCUGCCCAGAUCAGGAGGAAUGGGCCGGCGCCCCCUCCCCACAGCCCCGGCGAGUUCCUGGACGGGCGCGCGCAAGCACAGCGACCCCUACCGGCUCCUCCACUCUCCCCAGCCACCUCCUCCAGGAAGCUCGCUCGGGCUUCCGGGACCUGGAAGAGUCCUGUAGAGACUGUCUGAGAGAUGCUUUUGGCCUCCCAGACAUUUUGUCCUUGGGUCCUCACUAAUACAUCACGAGGUCUCUUCACUUGAACCAGUUGGGGGUAAACUUCGUUUCCCGUCGUGACCCUGCCUGAUACAGCACCUUCUGCCCAGGCCACAAAACAAGCCAUGGCCAGCGGGAGGCCAAGGGACAAGAGAGAGAUUGCCAGAGGGCAGAAACACACAGGACAAAAUGGGGCAGAGAAGCAGAAACAGGGAGAGAUUAAAAAGGCAAAGGCUGGCCGGGCGCUGUGGCUCAUGCCUGUAAUCUCAACAUUUUGGGAGGCCUGAAGGAGGUGGAUCACUUGAGCCCAAGAGUUUGAGAUCAGCCUGGGCAACAUAGCAAGACCCCGUCUCUGCAAAAAAAAAUUAAAAAAUUUAGCUAGGCAUGAUGGUUCACCCCUCUGAUUGCCUGAUUGCUUAAGUUCCAGGCUGCAGUGAGCUGCGAUUGCACCAUUGUACUCUGGCCUGGGCAACAGAGCCAGAUCCUGUCUCUAAAAAUAAAUAAAUAGAUAAAUAUAUAAGACAAUGACCAUCAUCUUUCUUCAUAGCCAAGAACCCUCAGCUUCGAGAGAUGAACUUUAAGGACCUCCUCCUCCCCAGGAAGGGAGAUAUGGAGCUCAUUACAAACCAGAGCCCAGAGCCCCACUUUACACCUGCAGGUUCAGUAACUAGAGAAUCAGGGACCCAGAGUCUGCAUU